CCCUUAGAUGUUCUGGGCCGCACACGCGCUACACUGAAGGAGGCAGCGUGUACUCCUGGAUCGAAAGAUUUGGGUAACCCGCGAAUCUCCUUCGUGCUAGGGAUUGAGGUUUGCAAUUAUCCUUCAUGAACAAGGAAUUCCCAGUAAGUGCAAGUCAUAAGCUUGCGCUGACUACGUCCCUGCCCUUUGUACACACCGCCCGUCGCUACUACCGAUUGAAUGAUUUAGUGAGGACUUCGGACUGGGACCGAUGCGGCUUUCGGGCUGCGUCGGUAUUCUGGAAAGAUGUCCAAACUGUAUCAUUUAGAGGAAGUAAAANUCGUAACA
rnacentral:rRNA from 1 species